AUUGAACGCUGGCGGCAGGCUUAACACAUGCAAGUCGAACGCCCCGCAAGGGGAGUGGCAGACGGGUGAGUAACGCGUGGGAAUCUACCGAGCCCUGCGGGAUAGCUCCGGGAAACUGGAAUUAAUACCGCAUGCGCCCUUCGGGGGAAAGAUUUAUCGGGGUGUGAUGAGCCCGCGUUGGAUUAGCUCGUUGGUGGGGUAAAGGCCUACCAAGGCGAAGAUCCAUAGCUGGUCUGAGAGGAUGAUCAGCCACAUUGGGACUGAGACACGGCCCAAACUCCUACGGGAGGCAGCAGUGGGGAAUAUUGGACAAUGGGCGCAAGCCUGAUCCAGCCAUGCCGCGUGAGUGAUGAAGGCCUUAGGGUUGUAAGGCUCUUUCACCGGAGAAGAUAAUGACGGUACCUACAGAAGAAGCCCCGGCUAACUUCGUGCCAGCCGCCGCAGUAAUAC
rnacentral:rRNA from 1 species